AAUGUUGUUCCGAUUUUGGUUCUUGUGAACGUUGACAUCGAUUCGUUCCAAAUUUACACGCUCGGGGCGUAAUAGAACAAUAUAAUUAGGCUUUACUCUUUAUUCGAUUGAAAGAGAAAAAGUACUCGUUGCAAAGUUUUACUGUUAGGGCGGAACUAAGUAAUCUAAUGUUGCUUCGGUUUUGGUUCUUGAACGUUGACAUCGAUUCGUUCCAAAUUUACACUCCCUGGGCAUAAUAGAACAAUAUAAUUAGGUUUUACGCUUUGUUCGAUAGAAUGAGAAAAAGUACUCAUUGCAAAGUUAUACUGCUAGGGCGCGACUGGGUAGUCUAAGGUUGUUCCGGCUUUUGUUCUUUUGAACGUUGACAUCGAUUCGUUCCAAAUUUACACUCUCGCGGCAUAAUAGAACAAUAUAAUUAGGUUUUACGCUUUGUUAGAUAGAAUGAGAAAAGUACUCGUUGCAAAGUUAUACUGUUUGGGCGCAACUGAGUAUUCUAAUGUUGUUCCUGUUUUGGUUAUUGUGAACGUUGACAUCGAUUCGUUCCAAAUUUACACUCUCAAGGAAUAAUAGAACAAUAUAAUUAGGUUUUACGCUUUCUUCGAUAAAAUGAGAAAAAGUACUCGUUGCAAAGUUAUACUGUUAGGGUGCAACUGAGUAGUCUAGUUUUGUUCCGAUUUUGGUUUUUGUGAACGUUGACAAUGAUUCGUUCCAAAUUUACUCUCUCGGGGCAUAAUAGAACAAUAUAAUUAGGUUUUACUCUUUGUUUGAUAGAAUGAGAAAAAGUACUCGUUGCAAAGUUAUACUGUUAGGGCGCAACUGAGUAGUCUAAUGUUCUUCCGGUUUUUGUUCUUCUGAACAUUGACAUCGAUUCGUUCCAAAUUUACACUCUCGAGGCAUAAUAAAACGAUAUAAUUAGGUUUUACUUUUUGUUCGAUAGAAUGAGAAAAAGUACUCGUUGCAAAGUUAUACUGUUAGGGCGCAACUGAGUAGUCUAAUGUUGUUCUGGUUUUCGUUCUUGUGAACGUUGACAUCGAUUUGUUCAAAAUUUACACUCUCGGGGCAUAAUAGAGCUAUAUUAAUUAAGGUUUUAACCUAUUCUUCGAUAAAUUGUGAAAAAGGUGCUCGUAUGCAUAAAGUUUAUACUGUUAGGGUGCAACCGAGUAGAAUAGUUUGCUUCCGGAUUUAUGUUGUUUGUGAACGUCGACAAUGUGUCGUUCCAAAUUUAUAGCCUCGUGGGGCAUAAUAGAACAAUAUAAUUAGGGUUUUACUCUUUGUUUUGAUAGAAAUGAGAAAAAGUACUGCGUUGCAAAGUUAUACUGUUAAAGGGAAACUGAGUAGUCUAAUGUAUCUGCCGGUUUUUGUUCUUUCUGGAACAGUUUUCAUCGAUUCGUUCCAAAUUUACAACUCUCGAGGCAUAAUAAAACGAUAUAAUUAGGUUUUACUUUUUGUUCGAUAGAAUGAGAAAAAGUACUCGUUGCAAAGUUAUACUGUUAGGGCGCAACUGAGUAGUCUAAUGUUGUUCUGGUUUUCGUUCUUGUGAACGUUGACAUCGAUUUGUUCAAAAUUUACACUCUCGGGGCAUAAUAGAACUAUAUAAUUAGGUUUUACUCUUUGUUCGAUAGAUUGAGAAAAAGUACUCGUUGCAAAGUUAUACUGUUAGGGCGCAACUGAGUAGUCUAAUGUUGUUCCGAUUUUGGUUCUUGUGAACGUCGAAGAUUCGUUCCAAAUUUACACUCGCGGGGCAUAAUAGAACUAUAUAAUUAGGUUUUACUUUUUGUUCGAUAGAAUGAGAAAAAGUACUCGUCGCAAGUUAUACUGUUAGGGCACAACAGAGUAGUCUAAUGUAGUUCUGGUUUUCGUUCUUGUGAACGUUUACAUCGAUUCGUUCCAAAUUUACACUUUCGGGGCAUAAUAGAACAAUAUAAUUAGGUUUUACUCUUUGUUCGAUAGAAUGAGAAAAAGUACUCAUUGCAAAGUUAUACUGUUAGGGCGCUACUGAGUAGUCUAAUUUUGUUCCUGUUUUUGUUCUUGUGAACGUUGACAUCGAUUCGUUCCAAAUUUACACUGUCGGGUAAUAAUAGAACAAUAUAAUUAGGUUUUACUCUUCGUUCGAUAGAAUAAGAAAAAGUACUCGUUGCAAAAUUAUACUGUUAGGGCGCAACAGAGUAGACUAAUGUUGUUCCGAUUUUGGUUCUUUUAAACAUUGACAUUGAUUCGUUCCAAAUUUACACUCUCGGGGUAUAAUAGAAUGAUAUAAUUAGGUUUUACUCUUUGUUCGAUAGAAUGAGAAAAAGUACUCGUUGCAAAGUUAUACUGUUAGGGUGCAACUGAGUAGUCUAAUUUUUUUCCUGUUUUUGUUCUUGUGAACGUUGACAUCGAUUCGUUUAAAAUUUACACUCUUGGGGCAUAAUAAAAUAAUAUAAUUAGGUUUUACUCUUUGUUCGUUUGAAUGAGAAAAAGUACUCGUUGCAAAGUUAUACUAUUAGGGCGCAACUGAGUAGUCUAAUGUUGUUCCGAUUUCGGUUCUUGUGAACGUAGACAUCGAUUCGUUCCAAAUUUACACACUCGGGGCAUAAUAGAACAAUAUAAUUAGGUUUUACUCAUUGUUCGAUAGAAUGAGAAAAGGUACUCGUUGCAAAUUUAUACUGUUAGAGCGCAACUUAGUAGUCUAAUGUUGUUUCGGUUUUGGUUCUUGUGAACGUUUACAUCGAUUCGUUCGAAAUUUACGCUCUCGGAGCAUAAUAGAGCAAUAUAAUUAGAUUUUACUCUUUGUUCGAUAGAAUGAGAAAAAGUACUCGUUGCAAAGUUAUACUGUUUGGGCACAACUGAGUAUUCUAAUGUUGUUCCGGUUUUAGUUCUUGUGAACAUUGACAUCGAUUCGUUCCAAAUUUACACUCUCAGGGCAUAAUAGAACAAUAUAAUUAGGUUUUACUCUUUGUUCGAUAGAAUGAGAAAAAGUACUCAUUGCAAAGUUAUACUGUUAGGGCGCAACUGACUAGUCUAAUGUUGUACCGGUUUUGGUUCUUGUGAACGUUGACAUCGAUUCGUUUCAAAUUUACACUCUCGAGGCAUAAUAGAGCAAUAUAAUUAGGUUUAAUUUUUGUUCGAUAGAAUGAGAAAAAGUACUCGUUGCAAAGUUAUACUGUUAGGGCGCAACUGAGUAGUCAAAUUUUGUUCCGAUUUUGGUUCUUGUGAACGUUGAAGAUUCGUUCCAAAUUUACACUCGCGGGGCUUAAUAGAACUAU
rnacentral:lncRNA from 1 species